GCGUCAUUGCUCACCUCAAGCCUGGCUUGGUCUUGGGCGUGCGUCCUGCGGGACGGGUCCGAAAAACAGUGGCGGUGCAGUUGCGACCGGCAGCGUAGUAAUAAUCUCUCGUUCGACGCGUCGCGCUGUGCCUGCCAGCCAACCGUGAUGAUUUCUCAUCGGUUGACCUCGGAUCAGGUAGGGAUACCCGCUGAACUUAA
rnacentral:misc_RNA from 1 species